GCGUGAAGGAUGAAUGUCGUAAGAUUGUAAACUUCUUUUAGAGGGGACGAAAAAACGGGUUAGUAGCCCGAAUUGACGGUACCCUCAGAAUAAGCCCCGGCUAACUACGUGCCAGCAGCCGCGGUAAUACGUAGGGGGCAAGCGUUGUCCGGAUUUACUGGGUGUAAAGGGCGCGCAGGCGGGUUUGUCAGUCAGGGGUGAAAUCCUACAGCUUAACUGUAGAACUGCCUUUGAUACUGCAAACCUUGAGUUCGGAAGAGAGAGGCGGAAUUCCAGGUGUAGUGGUGAAAUACGU
rnacentral:rRNA from 1 species